rnacentral:rRNA from 1 species
CUGACAUUAGAUACCCGUGUAGUCCAGGGUGUAAACGCUGCAGACUUGGUGUUGGGGGCCCUUUGGGGGCAUUCAGUGCCGGAGAGAAGUUGUUAAGUCUGCUACUUGGGAGUACGUCCGCAAGGAUGAAACUUAAAGGAAUUGGCGGGGGAGCACCGCAACGGGAGGAGCGUGCGGUUUAAUUGGAUUCAACACCGUAAACUCACCAGGGAAGACUGUUACAUGAAGGCCGAGAUGAAGACUCUGCUAGAUUUUCAG